rnacentral:rRNA from 1 species
GAUGAACGCUGGCGGCGUGCCUAAUACAUGCAAGUCGAGCGAACGGACGAGAAGCUUGCUUCUCUGAUGUUAGCGGCGGACGGGUGAGUAACACGUGGAUAACCUACCUAUAAGACUGGGAUAACUUCGGGAAACCGGAGCUAAUACCGGAUAAUAUUUUGAGCCGCAUGGUUCAAAAGUGAAAGACGGUCUUGCUGUCACUUAUAGAUGGAUCCGCGCUGCAUUAGCUAGUUGGUAAGGUAACGGCUUACCAAGGCAACGAUGCAUAGCCGACCUGAGAGGGUGAUCGGCCACACUGGAACUGAGACACGGUCCAGACUCCUACGGGAGGCAGCAGUAGGGAAUCUUCCGCAAUGGGCGAAAGCCUGACGGAGCAACGCCGCGUGAGUGAUGAAGGUCUUCGGAUCGUAAAACUCUGUUAUUAGGGAAGAACAUAUGUGUAAGUAACUGUGCACAUCUUGACGGUACCUAAUCAGAAAGCCACGGCUAACUACGUGCCAGCAGCCGCGGUAAUACGUAGGUGGCAAGCGUUAUCCGGAAUUAUUGGGCGUAAAGCGCGCGUAGGCGGUUUUUUAAGUCUGAUGUGAAAGCCCACGGCUCAACCGUGGAGGGUCAUUGGAAACUGGAAAACUUGAGUGCAGAAGAGGAAAGUGGAAUUCCAUGUGUAGCGGUGAAAUGCGCAGAGAUAUGGAGGAACACCAGUGGCGAAGGCGACUUUCUGGUCUGUAACUGACGCUGAUGUGCGAAAGCGUGGGGAUCAAACAGGAUUAGAUACCCUGGUAGUCCACGCCGUAAACGAUGAGUGCUAAGUGUUAGGGGGUUUCCGCCCCUUAGUGCUGCAGCUAACGCAUUAAGCACUCCGCCUGGGGAGUACGACCGCAAGGUUGAAACUCAAAGGAAUUGACGGGGACCCGCACAAGCGGUGGAGCAUGUGGUUUAAUUCGAAGCAACGCGAAGAACCUUACCAAAUCUUGACAUCCUUUGACAACUCUAGAGAUAGAGCCUUCCCCUUCGGGGGACAAAGUGACAGGUGGUGCAUGGUUGUCGUCAGCUCGUGUCGUGAGAUGUUGGGUUAAGUCCCGCAACGAGCGCAACCCUUAAGCUUAGUUGCCAUCAUUAAGUUGGGCACUCUAAGUUGACUGCCGGUGACAAACCGGAGGAAGGUGGGGAUGACGUCAAAUCAUCAUGCCCCUUAUGAUUUGGGCUACACACGUGCUACAAUGGACAAUACAAAGGGCAGCGAAACCGCGAGGUCAAGCAAAUCCCAUAAAGUUGUUCUCAGUUCGGAUUGCAGUCUGCAACUCGACUACAUGAAGCUGGAAUCGCUAGUAAUCGUAGAUCAGCAUGCUACGGUGAAUACGUUCCCGGGUCU